UACAGGGGGUGCAAACGUUGCUCGGAAUUAUUGGGCGUAAAGCGCACGUAGGCGGUCUGCUAUGUCGGAUGUGAAAGCCCUUGGCUUAACUGAGGAAGUGCAUCCGAAACUGGCAGGCUAGAGUACUAAAGAGGGUCGCGGAAUUCCCGGUGUAGAGGUGAAAUGUGUAGAGAUCGGGAGGAACACCGGUGGCGAAGGCGGUCUUCUGGACGGUGACUGACGCUGAGGCGCGAAAGCGUGGGGAGCAAACGGG
rnacentral:rRNA from 1 species